rnacentral:rRNA from 1 species
UGCGUAGGCGGCGCGGUAAGUCGGGUGUGAAAUCUCGGAGCUUAACUCCGAAACUGCAUUCGAUACUGCCGUGCUUGAGGACUGGAGAGGAGACUGGAAUUCACGGUGUGGCAGUGAUAUGCGUAGAUAUCGUGAGGAAGACCGGUGGCGAAGGCGGGUCUCUGGACAGUUCCUGACGCUGAGGACGAAGGCCAGGGGGAGACGAAAC